AGUGAACGCUGGCGGCGUGCUUAACACAUGCAAGUCGAACGAGAACGGAUAUAGCUUGCUAUAAUUGUCAGCUAAGUGGCGCACGGGUGAGUAAUGUAUAGGUAAUAUGCCUCUUACUAAGGGAUAACAAAUGGAAACGUUUGCUAAUACCUUAUACUCCUUAUUAACAGAAGUUAAUAAGGGAAAGAUUUAUUGGUAAGAGAUUAGCCUGUAUUGUAUCAGUUAGUUGGUGGGGUAAUGGCUUACCAAGACUAUGACACAUAACUGGUUUGAGAGGAUGAUCAGUCACACUGGAACUGAGACACGGUCCAGACUCCUACGGGAGGCAGCAGUGGGGAAUAUUGCACAAUGGACGAAAGUCUGAUGCAGCAACGCCGCGUGGAGGAUGACACAUUUCGGUGCGUAAACUCCUUUUAUAUGAGAAGAUAAUGACGGUAUUAUAUGAAUAAGCACCGGCUAACUCCGUGCCAGCAGCCGCGGUAA
rnacentral:rRNA from 1 species